AAGCCUCUGUGAUAUUGCAUAGAAACAGGAAUAAAGGACACUUGUAUUGUUUGAGAAUUUUAUGAUGACUUAUUUACUUUUCCUUUAUUUCUGUCCUCAAGGCACUGAAGAUUGAUAAGAAAACAUCCCCAAAUGAAUGCUUUAUUUGAGAAAUUUUUAUAUGGCAAAUUCAACUAGUAAAAUGCCAUAAGAAGUCCCCUAUUUCAGUUUAGACUUCUGUUAUUACUGUGGAGGGGAAAGAUGGGCCGCAGAAUGAAGCAGGGGCAUAAACCAUUUGUCUUGUUUGUUCAUAUGCAAAAACUCAACCUUAUAAAAGGAAACAGAACAGUUUAAACUAAAAAGAACAAAUUAAAACAAAUGUUUAUUAAACUUUGCCAAUGUAUGAGCUUGACGAAUAUCUGCUGAUGAGUACACAAAUAAAUCUUAUAAUAUGGGUUACUGUCGUUAGAAAUUUUGUCU
rnacentral:sRNA from 1 species